rnacentral:rRNA from 1 species
UACGUAGGGGGCGAGCGUUGUCCGGAAUCAUUGGGCGUAAAGCGCGUGUAGGCGGCUCGGUAAGUCCGGUGUGAAACCUUGGGGCUCAACCCCAAGCCUGCACUGGAUACUGUCGAGCUCGAGUCCGGGAGGGGAGAGCGGAAUUCCUAGUGUAGCGGUGAAAUGCGCAGAUAUCAGGAGGAACACCGGUGGCGAAGGCGGCCCUCUGGACGGAUACUGACGCUGAGACGCGAAAGCGUGGGGAGCAAACAGG